AACCCUCCAAGGUCACCAGGGACACCCUUCUAAGACCCUCCAGGAAUCUGCAAUCCCAUUCUCUACCUCUGGAGAUCAGCAUGGCGGAUGAGAGCAGCGAUGCGGCUGGGGAACCCCAGCCGGCGCCUGCUCCUGUCCGACGUCGCUCCUCGGCCAACUACCGAGCCUAUGCCACCGAGCCACAUGCCAAGGUGGGGAGGGGUCCUAGAGGACGGUACUUCUGGGUUCAGAAUCCUCUGGGACCCCAGGGGCGGCACCAAGGCCUUGGAAAGGGGUGGAGCCCGAUGGGUGGGGCAGAAUUUCAAAGAGGUACAGGUUGGGGUUGGUGACAGCUGCCUGUGGGAGAAACUCCUCUGCCUACAGCAAGGCAUAGGCGUGAGCACGGUGAUUAGCAGUGGAUAGAUAGGCAGUGUGUAGCUCUAGUCAGAGACAAAGAUUGGUGGAUGGGACCGAAGGACGUGGCUUCCAGUGGACUCAGCAUUCUGGUUGAAGAAUGGGUGAGCCGAAUGGUUAUGCACUUGAGUGGGUGGUGGUGCCUUGCAGCCCCGCCCAAUGUCCACUUUGGGACCUCUCACUGACCUUUCUCCCUAUCACCCUGGCAGAAAAAGUCUAAGAUCUCCGCCUCCAGAAAACUUCAGUUGAAGGUGAUGAAGAGCUCGGAGGGGUGGGCCUUGGUGGGCGGAGCUUUUGGGGAGUGGUUUCGUUUCGGAGUGCGUCAGUCCCCCUACACACACACACACACACACACACACACACACACACACACACACGUGCGCGUGCACAGAACACAGAAACGGGGAAGGUUUUUUUUUUUUAAUAAAAGACACAAACUUGGAUGUUUGGAUAUUCUGUCUCUCUGGAAGAUAGCGAGAUAGAGGGAAAUUUGUUAUUCUUAUACUUUCGGGGACCCUGUUUUCGGCUCCCACCAUUCCGCAGACUCUGAUGCUGCAGAUUGCGAAGCAGGAGAUGGAGCGUGAGGCAGAGGAGCGACGUGGAGAGAAGGGCCGCGUUCUGAGCACGCGUUGCCAGCCCUUGGUGUUGGAUGGGCUGGGCUUUGAAGAGCUUCAGGUAUCAGUUUACCAAGCAGGAAUUCCUGAUGAGCCUGGGUCCCGAUGUUUCUCAUCUCGGCCCUGGCAUCUCUUGGGUAUCAGGAGCACAAGAACCAUCCCCAGUUCUGCUCAGGAUCUGCAAUCCUUAUGCCAAGCUAUACAUUCAGUCUUACAAUUCAAAAUCCAGUGUAUUUUUCCUGCCUUUGUCUGCUAAGUCUCAGAAUUCUUGGCUCCUGGCCAUUUUUUUUUUUAAGUUCCCUAGAGUGCGGAUUCCAGUGUCAGCUUCCUUUCACCCCCUCCUUCUUCAGACUCAGGAGUCCAGACCCCAGCACUCCUCUCUCAAACUCAGGGGUCCAGAGCCUAGGCCUCCUUCCUCAGACCGGGAGGUCUCCUUUCUCAGAUCAGAGACCUGAGUCUCCAGCCUUCCUCUCAACGCCCAUGCAUUCCUUCACCAGGACCUAUGCCGGCAGCUUCACGCUCGUGUGGACAAAGUGGAUGAAGAGAGAUACGACGUGGAAGCAAAAGUCACCAAGAACAUCACUGAGGUGGGAAGCCUGGGGAAGUCUGAGCACCUUCACUGUAGACCGAGAUGUCCAGGACUGUAGCUUCAGACUGAGGGCUAUGUCUGUGUGUACUUUAGACAACUCUAAGCAGAAGGCAGGCAGUGGCAAAGGCAGCUGUUCCCACAGAGAGACAACACGUGCAAGGUAGA
rnacentral:lncRNA from 1 species